rnacentral:rRNA from 1 species
CAUGCAGUCGAGGGGCAGCAUCAUCAAAGCUUGCUUUGAUGGAUGGCGACCGGCGCACGGGUGAGUAACACGUAUCCAACCUGCCGACAACACUGGGAUAGCCUUUCGAAAGAAAGAUUAAUACCGGAUGGUAUAGUUUUCCCGCAUGGGAUGAUUAUUAAAGAAUUUCGGUUGUCGAUGGGGAUGCGUUCCAUUAGGCAGUUGGCGGGGUAACGGCCCACCAAACCUACGAUGGAUAGGGGUUCUGAGAGGAAGGUCCCCCACAUUGGAACUGAGACACGGUCCAAACUCCUACGGGAGGCAGCAGUGAGGAAUAUUGGUCAAUGGACGAGAGUCUGAACCAGCCAAGUAGCGUGAAGGAUGACUGCCCUAUGGGUUGUAAACUUCUUUUAUACGGGAAUAAAGUGAGCCACGUGUGGCUUUUUGUAUGUACCGUAUGAAUAAGGAUCGGCUAACUCCGUGCCAGCAGCCGCGGUAAUACGGAGGAUCCGAGCGUUAUCCGGAUUUAUUGGGUUUAAAGGGAGCGUAGGCGGGUUGUUAAGUCAGUUGUGAAAGUUUGCGGCUCAACCGUAAAUUGCAGUUGAUACUGGCGACCUUGAGUGCAAC